ensembl:lncRNA
UGUUGUCACAUGUGAUGUUAGAAUAAAAAUGCGCUUGCUCCUUUAAAAACAGCUGAAACUUGAUGAUGUCAUCAAUGUUAGACCAAUCACAGUCUACUGCAUGGUAGAUGGCUGUUCUUUACUGUGGUUGAAUCCCAAGCCAUCUGCUACAUUUCUUUCUUCCGGGAGUCACCGUUGAAGAAAAAGAGAAACCAGACUUGUCUUCUCACCAUGAAGAUGUCCAAGCAAGCAAGCAGCUAACCAGAGUUUAGAGGACUGUGGGGAAUGGGUGUCUGCGGUUACAAUGACAGAGUCUGAAACCUGAGAUGGGAGGCCCACAUGGCAAUGUGGUGGAGAGGAGAAAAUAAACAGUCAGGAAAAGGUGGAGCAUGAUGAGAGCAGAGGACGGCAGUGGUGGAAUACAGAGCAGAGCAGUGGCAUGGGGCUCUCUAAAGGCUACAAACCUGAGCAAUGUGCCGCAUGUGGCUAUUCAAACACAGCAUCAC